rnacentral:rRNA from 1 species
UACGUACCGUCCAAACGUUAUUCGGAAUUACUGGGCUUAAAGGGUACGUAGGCGGCCCUGUCAGUCGGGUGUGAAAUCCCACGGCUCAACCGUGGAACUGCGCCCGAUACUGCAGGGCUUGAGGGAGACAGAGGUAAGCGGAACUGAUGGUGGAGCGGUGAAAUGCGUUGAUAUCAUCAGGAACACCAGUGGCGAAAGCGGCUUACUGGGUCUCUUCUGACGCUGAGGUACGAAAGCUAGGGGAGCGAAGGGG